UACAGAGGUCCCAAGCGUUGUUCGGAUUCACUGGGCGUAAAGGGUGCGUAGGCGGUCGGGUAAGUCUGACGUGAAAUCUCCAAGCUCAACUUGGAAAUGGCGUCGGAUACUAUUCGGCUCGAGGAAUGGAGGGGAGACUGGAAUUCUCGGUGUAGCAGUGAAAUGCGUAGAUAUCGAGAGGAACACCAGUGGCGAAGGCGAGUCUCUGGACAGUUCCUGACGCUGAGGCACGAAGGUCAGGGGAGCAAACGGG
rnacentral:rRNA from 1 species